rnacentral:rRNA from 1 species
UGACUACUUGAUGAUCCCGCGUUGUAUUAGCUAGUUGGUAGUGUAAAGGACUACCAAGGCGAUGAUACAUAGCCGACCUGAGAGGGUGAUCGGCCACACUGGGACUGAGACACGGCCCAGACUCCUACGGGAGGCAGCAGUAGGGAAUCUUCGGCAAUGGGGGCAACCCUGACCGAGCAACGCCGCGUGAGUGAAGAAGGUUUUCGGAUCGUAAAACUCUGUUGUUAGAGAAGAACGUUAAGUAGAGUGGAAAAU